rnacentral:lncRNA from 1 species
AUAAAAGACAUCUAGGACAUUCCAACAGCCUGAAUAAACGUUUUCUUGGGCUUACAGGUGAAUAAAGAAAAUAUUUGUAGGGUUAAACAUCACUGUUUCUUCUAUAGAGAUACAGAUUGAAAUAGUACCUCAUUUUCAGAAGCCCUUGGGUUUCACUGUAAGCAGAAAGUCUUGGAUGACUUAUGUUUUUCAGCCAUUUAAUGAGUUGCAUCAAGGGACAAUGGAGAACUGUGGUAUGAUUUCUCUGACUUAGUAGAACCUCAUUAAUUUUUUUUUUUAUAGCAUAAUAUGUUUUGAAACUGACAAUGAAUUUCUUGUAUCAGGAUUGUGCAGGGCUCUCCUUGUCAAGAAUUUUCUAAAUUAAAUCUGCAUGGUUCUGAAGGCCAGAAUGUGGCUGGUAGGUUGUGACAUGCCUAAUUUCUACCACCUGGAAUACAAACUGGUAACAUUCUCAAGGGAAUUGAAUCUGGUGUGGGACUAUACUUCACAGACCUUUUUCUUUAGAGAAGGUGAAUAGAGAUCAGAUGGUUCUCGUUUUGUUCUCUUCAUUCCUAUUCAUUUCUUGUGGGUUGAGGUAAUGAGAUUGAAGGCACUUUGCUUGCAUGGAGCAGGGGAGAAUCAGUUUCUGCAGGCUGUGGGAUCAGCCUUUUUUCCUAGACAUAUGGAUGGUUUGGUAUACUUAUGCAAAAUGUUGGACUGGUCCUUACGGUUCCGGUGUGCAAUCUGCAAAAGGUCAUAAUCUGCAGGUGCAAAUACGUUCACCAAAGCUCUCUGGAGAAAUACUUGAUUCUGAAGUUACUGGAUACUGGACAACUCCAGUUUUUCUGAAGGGAAAGAUCUGUUGGGCAUUAGCUGUGGAGUCUUUCUGCUUCAGCUGUGAUCAGAAGGAAUACAGGAAAGAAAAACAACAUACUUUGUGUGCAGUGCAGCUGUGCCCAGUGCUGUUGGGGAAAUGA